UACGUAGGUGGCAAGUGUUGUCCGGAUUUAUUGGGCGUAAAGCGCUCGCAGGCGGUCUUUUAAGUCUGAUGUGAAAUCUUGCGGCUUAACCGUAAGCGGUCAUUGGAAACUGGAGGACUUGAGUGCAGAAGAGGAGAGUGGAAUUCCAUGUGUAGCGGUGAAAUGCGUAGAGAUACGGAGGAACACCAGUGGCGAAGGCGACUCUCUGGUCUGUAACUGACGCUGAGGAGCGAAAGCGUGGGUAGCGAACAGG
rnacentral:rRNA from 1 species